rnacentral:rRNA from 1 species
CCUACGGGUGGCAGCAGUAGGGAAUCUUCCACAAUGGACGAAAGUCUGAUGGAGCAACGCCGCGUGAGUGAAGAAGGGUUUCGGCUCGUAAAGCUCUGUUGGUAGUGAAGAAAGAUAGAGGUAGUAACUGGUCUGUAUUUGACGGCAAUUACUUAGAAAGUCACGGCUAACUACGUGCCAGCAGCCGCGGUAAUACGUAGGUGGCAAGCGUUGUCCGGAUUUAUUGGGCGUAAAGCGAGUGCAGGCGGUUCAAUAAGUCUGAUGUGAAAGCCUUCGGCUCAACCGGAGAAUUGCAUCAGAAACUGUUGAACUAGAGUGCAGAAGAGGAGAGUGGAACUACAUGUGUAGCGGUAGAAUGCGUAGAGAUAUGGAAGAACACCAGUGGCGAAGGCGGCUCUCUGGUCUGCAACUGACGCUGAGGCUCGAAAGCAUGGGUAGCGAACAGGAUUAGAUACCCCUGUAGUC